rnacentral:rRNA from 1 species
GACGAACGCUGGCGGCGUGCUUAACACAUGCAAGUCGAACGGAAAGGCCCUGCUCUUGUUGGGUGCUCGAGUGGCGAACGGGUGAGUAACACGUGAGUAACCUCCCCUUGUCUUUGGGAUAACUUCAGGAAACUGGGGCUAAUAUCCGAUAGGAGCUACUGCUGCAUGGUGGGGGUUGGAAAGUUACGGCGGUUGGGGAUGGAAUCGAGGCUUAUCAGCUUGUUGGUGGGGUAGGGGCUUACCAAGGCUUUGACGGGUAGCCGGCCUGGGAGGGUGGACGGCCACAUUGGGACUGAGAGACGGCCCAGACUGCUACGGGAGGCAGCGGGGGAGAAUAUUGCGGAAUGGGCGGAAGCCUGAUGCAGCAGCGCCGGGUGCGGGAUGACGGGUUUCGGGUUGUGAACCACUUUCGCCGGUGACAAAGCGUGAGUGACGGUAAUGGGUAAGGAAGCACCGGCUAACUACGUG